rnacentral:lncRNA from 1 species
GUCCUUAGUGUCUGCAGUGGCAGGUUCCCAGGUGGGAAUUUUAUUGAGAAGGAAAGACUCACAGUACAGGAUGAGUAUGGAGUUCUGGUAUUGGUGGUGUUUUCAUAAAAAUGUUUCCAAAUUUUAUUUUUCAGAAAGCACAGUCACUCUUGUAGAAGAAAUGCUAUUUAUUCCUCAUUCAUUUUCUGCUUUAACCUUAAGUUUUAGUUUUCUCUCUCUGAGGACCAGUGAUUUUGCAGUCUGAUUCCAAGAAACACAGGAGCAGAAAGCAGAAGGAAGAGCCAAACUCAUGCUCUCAACGUAAAGACUGAAGCCGUUGGAAUCAAAAGGUGGAGAAAGAGGAGGUCCCGCUGUGGUGCAGCGGGAUUGAUGGCCUCGCUGGAGCUCUGGGACACUCAGCUGAGUCGGCAUUGGCAUUGCCUCAGCUGUGGCGUAGGUCGCAGCUGUGGCUGAAUUUGACCCCUGGCCCGGGAACCCCUUAUGCCACUGGGCGGCCACAGAAGGGGAAAAAAAAAAAAACAACAAGUGGAGAAAGAUAAGCCAGGGAACUGCUAAUCAUAAGAAAACUAAUUUGCUUAUAGUAAUAUCGGGAGAAAUAAGCCCCAGGCCAAAGAGGGGUGUUUCAUAAUGAUGCAGGGCGCCACUCAGUAAGUGGAGGUGUCUUUCCUAGAUGUGUGUGUGCCUGUCAUGUGGCUUCAGGAUGCCCGAAGUGGGCAGACAGGCACAUUUACAAUCAUAGGCAGAAAGUUGAACACCCCUCCCUGAGUCCUUGACAGAAGAGGUGAAUUAAAAAAUCAGUAAAGACAAGGAAGCUAUGAAUAGCCCUACCAGCCAGCUGGAUCUAGUUGGCUUAUAGAAUAAGUACCACAGCCACCAACUGAAGAAUGCCUGUCCUUGUGAGGACAUACGGCACAUUCACCAAAUGGACCGACCACACGUGCUGCCGAACAAGCCAUGAUAAAUAUCCAAGGACUGAAAUAAGACCAAGUUCAGGCUUUAAGGGUCAAAUCAGAGCUGUAGCUGCUGGCCUACAGCACAGCCACAGCCACGUGGAAUCUGAGCUUCAUCUGUGACCUACACCACAGCUCACGGCAAUGCCAGAUCCCUGACCCACUGAACCUGAGGCCAGGGAUCGAACCCUCAGCCUCAUGGAUUCUGGUCUUACUUGUCUCUGCUGCACCACGGAGGGAACUGCCCUCCUCUGGUUUCUUGUAUUUUCUUUUUUUUUUUUUGGUCUUUUUGUCUUUUCUAGGGCUGCAUCCCACAGCAUGUGGAGGUUCCCAGGCUAGGGGUCCAAUUGGAGCUGUAGCCCCCAGCCUACACCACAGCCACAGCAACUCGGGAUCCGAGCCACGUCUAUGACCUACACCACAGCUCACGGCAACGCCGGAUCCUUAACCCACUGAGCAAGGCCAGGGAUCAAACCCGCAACCUCAUGGUUCCCAGUCGGAUUGGUUCACCGCUGAGCCUCGACGAGAGCUCCAGUUGUAUUUUCUGCUCUUCCUUUGUAUGCACUCCACUGCCCUCGCUCUUCGGGCCUUUAGUCACCUGGAACUGCUUUGCCUGGUAAGGUUCAUGUCUCACUGGCUUCUCUGAAAAUAGAUAGUGGGUGCUGGGGACCUCACGGGGUGGUUCCCUGAGUUUGAAGUGUUCUUUUCAUCACAACAGAUUCAGGUUUGACUGGGCCUUACUCUCUUACACGCAUCUCUUCGUUUCGCUCUUGGAAGCCACAUGUCUGCGUUGCUGUAGCGCUAGUGCACGUACUCUCACGUCUUUCGCAUUAUUCCUGCUGGAGGCUUUACUGGCUGCUCUUGUGUAUUUGCUCUUCCCGAUGAACUAGGGGUCAAACUUCUGAGUUUCGGAACACUGAAAACUCAGUGUUCUGUCCUAUUAGAACUUCGGUGGGCUUUGCAUUGGAUUUAAGGGUUUUUUUUAAAGGUCUGUUUUCUUUUUUUUUUUUUUUUUGGCUGCCCCUAUAGCACUUGGAAAUUCCUGGGCCAGGGGUUGAACCUGCGCCACAACAGUGACGACUCUGGAUCCUUAACCUGCCGAGCCACCAGGGAACUCCCAAAGAUUACGUGACAGUUGACAGCAUUAUUAUUUCGAGGCUUACAUCCAGUAAUUUUUGUGUCUUCUUGCUUUUACCUCCUACAGCUCUCUUUGGCCAUUUCUCUUCUUUCACGGUGGUCGCAGUCCUGGCCACUGUCACUCGUGCACCGGGCUUCGAAAGCAGGCCAUUGAGUGGGCUCCUGAGGACCGCUGGUCCCUCUGAUCUGCUUCCACACUGCGGCUAAGGCUUGGCCUCGGCUGCCCAGAGUGUUCUGCCUCCAGCCCCGCCUCGCCUGGGGCCUCCGCUCCGCCGCCGGGCUUCCCUGGCUCAUCCUGUGCUCGAGGAGGCCUUCCCGACGAGGCUCAGCUUCCCACUGAGGGUUUCAUGGGCCCUUUGCUCUGCUUCUGCGCCCUUGGUCCCGCUGUGGCUUCGCCAGGGCUGUGUCCCUGGCGCGGAGGCGAGUGCGCCGAGGCAGUGAGGCCGUCAGACCGCGGGCUCGGUGCUUGCCUCUGCCUCUUUCUGUCUUUAGGUGAAACCUCACACGCGCGGCCCUCUUAUCAAGCCUACGCCUGCAGCAUUUUCGACGUAUUUUUUUGUCAGUAGAGAAAAGCUGUUGGUUUUCGAACCUUGUAUCUGGCCGUCCUGCUGAACUCGGAGCCCCGGGGUUCGGUUCCCGCCCAUCUCCUGGUUCUGCCUGCCUCUCUGCUGGCUUCGUCCUCAGGUUGGUUGGCUGCUAGGCAGCUGCUGCAGUCCCAGCCUGCCAGCUGACCCGGGCAGAGCCCUCCCAGCAGAGUUCCCAAGGGCGUGGGUGGCGGGGGGGCUUUCUUAGAAGCCGCUUCCCUGCUCAUCUGCUUGCUCAUUGCUGAGCCGGCCAGUGGGGAGGACGUGGCUUAGCUCCGUGCCCGCUAAGCAGGCCUAACUUUGGAGCGAGGGUUGAGCCUCUCCUGGGCUGCUGGGCGGGGGAGGCGGUCGCUGUGCACCACCAGGAUUCUGCUGGAAAGGUGGGAGGGCCGAGGGGCCGGGGGGAGAGCCUCUCAGAGCGUCCUGUGACUUUCCCCCUCUGCCCCGUCCAGCACCCUCAUGCAGCUCGGGGGCUUUCUGAUGCCGUGGAGCCGUCCGUUCAGUCCUGGUGUAAAUGCGUGUCUGCUGUUCUUUGUGUCUCCAGUUGUGUUUUGGUCUGCUAAGAUUUUGUUUUCGGAGUCCCCAUGACUCAGUGGGUUAACGAUUGGGCAUUGUCACUGCUGUGGCUCAGGUCACUGCUGUGGCUCUGUUUCAGUCCCUGGCCUGGGAACCUCCACAUGCUGCAAGCAAGGCCAAAAAAAAAAAAAAAAAAA